rnacentral:rRNA from 1 species
CCUACGGGAGGCAGCAGUGGGGAAUAUUGCACAAUGGGGGGAACCCUGAUGCAGCGACGCCGCGUGAGUGAAGAAGGAUUUCGGUAUGUAAAGCUCUGUCAGCAGGGAAGAAGAAAGACGGUACCUGACCAAGAAGCGUCGCCUAACUACGUGCCAGCAGCCGCGGUAAUACGUAGGGGGCAAGCGUUAUCCGGAUUUACUGGGUGUAACGGGAGCGUAGACGGCAGGGCAAGUCUGGAGUGAAAGGCAGGGGCCCAACCCCGGGACUGCUCUGGAAACUGUCCGGCUGGAGUGGAGGAGAGGUAAGUGGAAUUCCUGGGGUAGCGGUGAAAGGCGUAGAUAUGAGGAGGAACACCAGUGGCGAAGGCGGCUUACUGGACUGUAACUGACGUUGAGGCUCGAAAGCGUGGGGAGCAAACAGGAUUAGAUACCCAGUAGUC